CUGAGGCCUGAGAGCUGAAGCAACUUGCCCAAGGUCACUAACAAGAGGCAAAGCCAGUUCUUGAACCUUUUUUGUCCUAACUCCAACCUGGGGCUCUGAAGUCCUGCCGCUCCACUGGAAGGGCCCUCAGUGCCGUCUAUGCCCAGGGCGGGGCACUCAGGUUGGGUGGGGAUGCAGCCACCCUGAGUGGGCCCGUGAUCUGCUUCACCUCUGCCUGGCAGAACUGGAGGUCCAGCAGCUCCUGCAGAUGGGUGGUGGUGGAAGGAGGAGAGAAUGGGCCACAGGCAGGCCAAGGGCAAGCUUAGCAGCACUCAACAUCCUCCAUGAACUCAACAGAAGUCAAGAAUGCAGGCAGCUCAUGAUGAAGACCUGCAGCGGCCCAGGUUUACCAAGCUCAUUCACAAUUGCAGUUGGAGAAUUCGUCUUUGGUCAUUUUCUACUUUGGAAAUACGAGACAGGAUCUCCCUCUGUUGUGCAGGCUGGUCUCAAACUCCUGCCUUCAAGCGAUCUUCCUGCCUGGCCUCCCAAAGUGUUGGAAUUACAGGCAUGAGCCACUGCACCCGCCCAGUAAAUCCUUUCUGAUACACCCUUAGUACUUCCAACUAAGUACCAGUCAUCAUUUUCCUUCAUUUCAUGGGUAUGGGGACAAAGAAAAUGGCAUAUUCAGUUCCCAAACUGUCAUUUCUGCCAGUCCUACCUAAAAAAUUGGUCCAUAGCCAAAAAGAUGGUCUUACUUCAUUUUGACUACGUUUACUAUGCUUAAGACAAGGUGUUAGUUAUUUCAGUACCCAAAAUAAAGCUUUUCAGAAUUUGUUCAUACUUUUUUUUUAAGAGAUGGAGUCUAUAUCUGUCACGCAGGCAGGAGAGUAGUGGCGCUAUCUCGGCUCACUGCAACUUCCGCCUCCCAGGCUCAAGCAAUUCUCCUGCCUCAGCCUCCUAAGUAGCUGGAAUUACAGGCAUGCACCACCAUGCCCGGCUAAUUUUUGCAUUUUAGUAUAGACAGGGUUUCACCAUGUUG
rnacentral:lncRNA from 1 species